rnacentral:rRNA from 1 species
GAUGAACGCUGGCGGCGUGCCUAAUACAUGCAAGUCGAGCGAACAGAUGAGGAGCUUGCUCCUCUGACGUUAGCGGCGGACGGGUGAGUAACACGUGGAUAGCCUACCUAUAAGACUGGGAUAACUUCGGGAAACCGGAGCUAAUACCGGAUAAUAUAUUGAACCGCAUGGUUCAAUAGUGAAAGACGGUUUUGCUGUCACUUAUAGAUGGAUCCGCGCCGCAUUAGCUAGUUGGUAAGGUAACGGCUUACUAAGGCAACGAUGCGUAGCCGACCUGAGAGGGGGAUCGGCCACACUGGAGCGGAGACACGGUCCAGACUCCUACGGGAGGCAGCAGUAGGGAAUCUUCCGCAAUGGGCGAAAGCCUGACGGAGCAACGCCGCGUGAGUGAUGAAGGUCUUCGGAUCGUAAAACUCUGUUAUGAGGGAAGAACAAAUGUGUAAGUAACUAUGCACGUCUUGACGGUACCUAAUCAGAAAGCCACGGCUAACUACGUG